rnacentral:rRNA from 1 species
UACAGAGGGUGCAAGCGUUGCUCGGAUUUACUGGGCGUAAAGCGUACGCAGACGGCCACGCAGGUCGGGUGUGAAAGCCCCGGGCUCAACCCGGGAAUUGCAUUCGAAACCAUGUGGCUCGAGUAUGGGAGAGGGAAGUGGAAUUCCUGGUGUAGAGGUGAAAUUCGCAGAUAUCAGGAGGAACACCAAUGGCGAAGGCAGCUCGCUGGGACGUGACUGACGCUGAGACGCGAAAGCGUGGGGAGCAAACAGG